rnacentral:lncRNA from 1 species
GGGGCCGUAAAUCAGAGUUGGAUCUGCAGCACCCCCCGCACCUAGAGGGCCACCAUGACCGAGGAGAGCUCCGAGGUGCCCGGGGAGUUGAUAGAAAGCAUAAAGGAUGUUAUUGGCAGAAAGAUAAAGAUUGCAUUGAAGAAGAAAGUAAAGUUGGAAGUUAAGGGAGACAAAGUUGAAAACAAAGUGCUGGUAAGUGUUAACCUAAAAAAAUGUUUAGAAGUAAAAGUGCUUUUCCCCCCUCCUUGUUUUGAUUGCCUUAUUUUUAUUUUAUUUUUUGGCUUUUUAGGGCCUCACACGCAGCAUAUGGAGGUUCCCAGGCUAGGGGUCUGAUCAGAGCUGUAGCCACCGGCCUACACAGCUAUAGCAACACCAGAUCCAAGCCGCAUCUGUGAUAUACACCACGGCUCAGCAACGCCAGAUCCUUAAUCCACUGAGCAAGGCCAGGGAUCGAACCCGCAACCUCAUGGUUCGGUUCCUACUUGGAUUCGCUUCCGGUGCACCACAACAGGAACUCCUGAUUGCCUUAUUUUCAUGCAGCUCUAGUCCUGUGUUUGAUAUUUUGUUCAAAAGUUCUGAUGCCCAUUUUGUCCUGGGCUAAUUGGAAUAUUUGUCCACUGGAAGGUAAAAGCAGGAUCAUUUAAAUUUUAGAGACUGAAAUUUUAAAAUUGUCUUUCUUAAAGUUGUAAAAGUCACCCACAUUUAGAUCAUCUCCUAGAAACCGUUUUCAAGUUACUCAAAAUUGGGCGUUAAAGGGAGCUUAGUUACUAUCUUUGUUGUGGCUGAUUAUUGGAUUUUUAUUUGUAAGGACUGAGGGAGGGUUUGAAAAAAUUCAUAUCAUGUCAAUUUCAUUAUUCAAUUUUCUCAAAUGUUAUAUCUGCAUCCAUCUUGGGGUGAUGGUUGAAGAAGGUGAAAAAAAUGUCCUUUUACAUUUUUUUUUUUAAAUUUUAAAUUUCUUGUUUACUCUUUAUUGCCUAUAGUUGAUUUACAGUGUUAUGUUGCUUUCUGCUGUUUACAUUGGAUUUUGGUGUCUCAGAGGGAAAUGCCAGCAGGCUGCUGGUGCUGAAAUGGGGCUUGGGGGCUUCCCUCUGAGUUGCUGGGGGGCUCAGGGGUAGACCUUUUGGGGCAUAGAAUUGUUGGGGAGUUUUCAGUGCUGACUUGUACCUUUAGGUGAAAAAAACGUUUUGUGGUGUUUUAGUGGUUUCUGUGUUGAAAUUGUGGCAAACCUUAAUUUAAGCUUAGGUAAAUACAUCUUGUUUGUGUUUUUAUUGGAGAGACUAUUCUGUGUAUCUUUUUAUCAUUAGGAAUUUUCAAACAGAUGCAAAAGUUGAGAAUGGGUAUACUUUUCAUCUGGCUUCAACAGUUUUCAGCAUUUUGCCAAUAGUGUUUUACCUCCUCACACUGCCCGCUCCUGCCCCCCGAGUAUUUUAAAACGAAUCCCAGGCAUAUGUCAUUCAAAGGGAAUAUUUUUACAUUCUCUUUCUUCAGUUGAAGUUGCCAUAGAAUUUGAAGUAUCUUUCUGAUAAUAUCUGUCUGGAGAAUCUGUUAAAAUAUCUAGGGAGUUUCCACUGUGGCUCAGUAGUAACGAACCUGACCAGUAUCCAUGAGGAUGCAGUUCGAUCCCUGACCUCACUCAGUGGGUUAAGGGUCCUGCAUUGCUGUGGAUCCGAUUCGACUCCUAGCCUGGGAACUUCCAUAUGCCACAGGUGUGGCCUAAAAGAAGAAAAAGAAAAAAAAAAAAA